rnacentral:rRNA from 1 species
UACGGAGGGGACUAGCGUUGUUCGGAAUUACUGGGCGUAAAGCGCACGUAGGCGGAUUGUUAAGUCAGGGGUGAAAUCCCGAGGCUCAACCUCGGAACUGCCUUUGAUACUGGCAAUCUCGAGUCCGGAAGAGGUGAGUGGAAUUCCUAGUGUAGAGGUGAAAUUCGUAGAUAUUAGGAAGAACACCAGUGGCGAAGGCGGCUCACUGGUCCGGUACUGACGCUGAGGUGCGAAAGCGUGGGGAGCAAACAGG